rnacentral:tRNA from 1 species
GGAGAGGUGGCAGAGUGGUUGAAUGCACCGGACUCGAAAUUCGGCAUACGGGUCCUCCCGUAUCGAGGGUUCAAAUCCCUCUCUCUCCGCCA